AUGAACGCUAGCUACAGGCUUAACACAUGCAAGUCGAGGGGCAUCAGGAAGAAAGCUUGCUUUCUUUGCUGGCGACCGGCGCACGGGUGAGUAACACGUAUCCAACCUGCCCUUUACUCGGGGAUAGCCUUUCGAAAGAAAGAUUAAUACCCGAUGGCAUAAUGAUUCCGCAUGGUUUCAUUAUUAAAGGAUUCCGGUAAAGGAUGGGGAUGCGUUCCAUUAGGUUGUUGGUGGGGUAACGGCCCACCAAGCCUUCGAUGGAUAGGGGUUCUGAGAGGAAGGUCCCCCACAUUGGAACUGAGACACGGUCCAAACUCCUACGGGAGGCAGCAGUGAGGAAUAUUGGUCAAUGGGCGGUAGCCUGAACCAGCCAAGUAGCGUGAAGGAUGAAGGCUCUAUGGGUCGUAAACUUCUUUUAUAUAAGAAUAAAGUGCAGUAUGUAUACUGUUUUGUAUGUAUUAUAUGAAUAAGGAUCGGCUAACUCCGUGCCAGCAGCCGCGGUAAUACGGAGGAUCCGAGCGUUAUCCGGAUUUAUUGGGUUUAAAGGGAGCGUAGGUGGACUGGUAAGUCAGUUGUGAAAGUUUGCGGCUCAACCGUAAAAUUGCAGUUGAUACUGUCAGUCUUGAGUACAGUAGAGGUGGGCGGAAUUCGUGGUGUAGCGGUGAAAUGCUUAGAUAUCACGAAGAACUCCGAUUGCGAAGGCAGCUCACUGGACUGCAACUGACACUGAUGCUCGAAAGUGUGGGUAUCAAACAGGAUUAGAUACCCUGGUAGUCCACACAGUAAACGAUGAAUACUCGCUGUUUGCGAUAUACAGUAAGCGGCCAAGCGAAAGCAUUAAGUAUUCCACCUGGGGAGUACGCCGGCAACGGUGAAACUCAAAGGAAUUGACGGGGGCCCGCACAAGCGGAGGAACAUGUGGUUUAAUUCGAUGAUACGCGAGGAACCUUACCCGGGCUUAAAUUGCAGUGGAAUGAUGUGGAAACAUGUCAGUGAGCAAUCACCGCUGUGAAGGUGCUGCAUGGUUGUCGUCAGCUCGUGCCGUGAGGUGUCGGCUUAAGUGCCAUAACGAGCGCAACCCUUAUCUUUAGUUACUAACAGGUCAUGCUGAGGACUCUAGAGAGACUGCCGUCGUAAGAUGUGAGGAAGGUGGGGAUGACGUCAAAUCAGCACGGCCCUUACGUCCGGGGCUACACACGUGUUACAAUGGGGGGUACAGAAGGCAGCUAGCGGGUGACCGUAUGCUAAUCCCAAAAGCCUCUCUCAGUUCGGAUCGAAGUCUGCAACCCGACUUCGUGAAGCUGGAUUCGCUAGUAAUCGCGCAUCAGCCACGGCGCGGUGAAUACGUUCCCGGGCCUUGUACACACCGCCCGUCAAGCCAUGGGAGCCGGGGGUACCUGAAGUACGUAACCGCAAGGAUCGUCCUAGGGUAAAACUGGUGACUGGGGCU
rnacentral:rRNA from 1 species